rnacentral:rRNA from 1 species
GACGAACGCUGGCGGCGUGCUUAACACAUGCAAGUCGAACGAUGUAGCCUUAACUUUGUUUUGGUGGAUUAGUGGCGAACGGGUGAGUAAUACGUGAGUAACCUGCCCCUGUCUUUGGGAUAAGCCUGGGAAACUGGGUCUAAUACUGGAUAUUCUGCCUUCCUCGCAUGGGGUUGGUUGGAAAGAUUUUUUGGAUGGGGAUGGGCUCACGGCCUAUCAGCUUGUUGGUGGGGUGAUGGCCUACCAAGGCGUCGACGGGUAGCCGGCCUGAGGGGGUGACCGGCCACAUUGGGACUGAGAUACGGCCCAGACUCCUACGGGAGGCAGCAGUGGGGAAUAUUGCACAAUGGACGCAAGUCUGAUGCAGCGACGCCGCGUGGGGGAUGAAGGCUUUCGGGUUGUAAACUCCUUUCAGUACAGAAGAAGCGAAAGUGACGGUAUGUACAGAAGAAGCACCGGCUAACUACGUGCCAGCCGCCGCAGUAA